GCUCAGAAUGAACGUUGGCAGCAUGGAUUAGGCAUGCAAGUCGCACGGGGGUGCUUUGCACUCCAGUGGCGAAAGGGUGAGUAAUGCACAGGUAAUCUGCCGUUACGACCGGGAUAACAUUUUUAACGAGGUGCUAAUACCGGAUGAGGCGCAAGUAUGCAUGUACUUGUAGUUAAAGGAGGAUUUCUUCCGCGUAAUGAGGUGCCUGUGUCCUAUUAGCUAGUAGGUGGGAGAAGAGCCUACCUAGGCGAUGAUGGGUAGCCGGGUUGAGAGGCUGACCGGCCACACUGGGACUGAGACACUGCCCAGACUCCUGCGGGAGGCUGCAGUCGAGAAUCUUCGGCAAUGGGCGCAAGCCUGACCGAGCGAUGCUGCGUGGAUGAUGAAGGUCUUCGGAUUGUAAAAUCCUGUUAGAAGCUAGGAAAUGCGUAUAUCUUAAUAAGUAAUACGUUUGACAUAAACUUCAGAGAAAGCCACGGCUAAAUUCGUGCCAGCAGCCGCGGUAAUACGAAUGUGGCGAACGUUAUUCGGAAUUACUGGGCGUAAAGGGCGUGUAGGCGGCGUAUAUAGUCUGAUGUGAAAUCUCUCAGCUCAACUGAGAAAUGUCGUUGGAAACUGAUAUGCUAGAGUUCGAUAGGGGAAAGCGGAACUCCGUGUGGAGCGGUGAAAUGCGUAGAUAUGUGGAGGAACGCCGGUGGCGAAAGCGGCUUUCUGGAUCGGAACUGACGCUGAGGCGCGAAAGCCAGGGUAGCGAACGGGAUUAGAUACCCCGGUAGUCCUGGCUGUAAACGAUGGGUACUAGGUAGUAGUGGAGUAAGUGCCAUUACUGCCGGAGCAAACGCGUUAAGUACCCCGCCUGGGGAGUACGACCGCAAGGUUGAAACUCAAAGGAAUUGACGGGGGCUCACACAAGCGGUGGAGCAUGUGGUUUAAUUCGAAGCAACGCGAAGAACCUUACCAGGAUUUGACAUGUAGGUGGUACAGAUAUGGAAGUUGACGGACCUGAGCAAUCAGGAGCCUAUACAGGUGUUGCAUGGCUGUCGUCAGCUCGUGCCGUGAGGUGUCGAGUUAAGUCUCUUAACGAGCGAAACCCUUGCCACUAGUUACCAGCGCGUAAUGGCGGGGACUCUAGUGGGACUGCCGCGUAAAAGUUGGAGGAAGGUGGGGACGACGUCAAGUCAUCAUGGCCCUUAUGUCCUGGGCUACACACGUGCUACAAUGGUCGUGACAGAGGGAAGCGAGUCCGUGAGGCGGAGCAAAUCCCAGAAACACGUCCCUAGUUCGGAUUGAAGGCUGCAAUUCGCCUUCAUGAAGCUGGAAUCGCUAGUAAUCGCGGGUCAGCAAUACCGCGGUGAUAUGUCUGAGCCUUGUACACACCGCCCGUCAAGCCACGGAAGCUUGGAGUACCUGAAGUCGCUGACCCAACCUUAAGUGGAGGAAGCGCC
rnacentral:rRNA from 1 species